rnacentral:tRNA from 2 species
GGGCGGUUAGCUCAGGGGGAGAGCGCUACCUUGACACGGUAGAGGUCGCUGGUUCGAUCCCAGUACCACCCA